rnacentral:rRNA from 1 species
UACGUAGGGUGCAGGCGUUAAUCGGAAUUACUGGGCGUAAAGCGUGCGCAGGCGGUUUGCUAAGACAGGUGUGAAAUCCCCGGGCUUAACCUGGGAACUGCGCUUGUUACUGGCAAGCUAGAGUGUGGCAGAGGGGGGUGGAAUUCCAGGUGUAGCAGUGAAAUGCGUAGAGAUCGGCAGGAACACCCAGGGGGAAACCAGCCGACUGGGCAUCUGCUGACGCUGAGGUGCGAGAGCGUGGGGAGCGAACCGG